rnacentral:rRNA from 1 species
AGAGAGAGACAUGCGUGCAUAUCAAUAAGCGGAGGAAAAGAAACUAACAAGGAUUCCCCUAGUAACGGCGAGUGAAGCGGGAAGAGCUCAAAUUUGAAAUCUUAAAGGGUUUCCCUUUACGAAUUGUAGUUUAAAGAAGUGUUUUCUGUUGAGGUUUUGGUAAAAGUUCUUUGGAAUAGGACAUCAUAGAGGGUGAGAAUCCCGUAUUUGACUCUUUACUUUCAACUUUGUGAUACACUUUCAAAGAGUCGGAUUGUUUGGGAAUGCAGUCCAAAAUGGGUGGUAAAUUUCAUCUAAAGCUAAAUAUUGGCGAGAGACCGAUAGCGAACAAGUACCGUGAGGGAAAGAUGAAAAGAACUUUGAAAAGAGAGUUAAACAGUACGUGAAAUUGUCAAAAGGGAAGCGUUUGACACCAGUGUUGUUUUUCUGAAAAUCAAUUAAAGAACUGUUUAUGCUAAGUUGUUUAGACUUUAUCAGCUAACUGUUUAGUUUUGAGCUUUUCUUUAAUGCACUUUUCAGUUAACAAGUCAACAUCAAUUUCUUUUGCUGUAAAAAAGCUUGAGGAAGGUGGCUUGAGAUUCGUCUUAAGUGUUUAUAGCCUCUUGCCUAUGCAGUCGGAGAGAUUGAGGUCUGCAGCGUAGAUCCUUCGGGGCUAAAUGCAUUUGUGCUAAGUUAUAGCAUUUUAUAGACAACUUGUUGACUAUGAUUUGUCUUGUAGCUUACUCGCUUAUGUUAUUUUACCUACGCUUAGGAUGUUGAGCGCAUGUCUCUCUCU